ensembl:lncRNA novel transcript
GAUCCCGGAAGGAGCCGAAGCGACAAUGCGGGGGAAGAGAUAGAGUCUUCCUCUGUCGCCUAGGCUGGAGUGCAGUGGCGCGAUCUCGGCGCACCGCAACCUCUGCCUCCCGGGUUCAAGCGAAUUCUCCUGCCUCAGCCUCCGGAGUAGCUGGGAUUACAGAUGUGCUCCACCAUGCCCGGCUAAUUUUUGUAUUUUUAGUAGAGAUGGGGGGGUUUCACCAUGUUGGCCAGGCUGGUCUCGAACUCCUGACCUUGUGAUCCACUAGCUUCGGCCUCCCGAAGUUCUGGGAUUACAGGCAUGAGCCACCACACCCGGAUGAAUUAUGCCAUUUUUAAGGCAAAGCAGCGGUGAUGGUGGGUGAUGGAGUGACAUCAGGAGCGCCAGAAGGAGGAAGUCAGAAAGCCCUUGGGGACAGGAAUGUCCUUGUGUUGCAAACAUUUCUGGUCAGGGAAAGAUGAAGAAAACAGAAUGAGUUUCUGAUAACAGUGUUCCCAACACUUAAUGGUUAAAAGAAGCUUUGAGGAACACCAUAUUUCAGCCCUAUGGAACAGUGAACAAAAAGGAAAAAGCCAGUAAGACUGAUGGUUCUGUAUAAGAUGUCCACUUCUGCAUGAUCUGCUCCAGACAACAAAUGAAAUGCUCUUAUUAUUCCUGUCCCACUCUUGUCUCCCUACAGGCUAACCUCAUCUUUCACAAUCACUAUUUUCACAAUCGAGCUUUGAGAAGCUGAAAAGUCAGCAGGCUAUCUUGGCAAACCCACUAUAGUGUUCUAAAUUCUUUGUCAAAAUUAACCUUUUACAAUCUCUUGGCACUUGGAAGUAGGGGAAGAGUCCAACUGAAAGUGCAGUUUGAUCUCAUGGAGAAAAGUGAUGACACUUACCAAUUCCCCAGACCUGAGACUAAGAAAAUAACCUUGGCCAACAUGCAAAAAAAAUAUAUAUUAAUGAGAGGAGAUACACUAAAUAUAUUUUACUCAUCUCAGCAUAGCUUUCUCACAGGCAGUAUAGAGAAUGAUACAUAUAAAGAAGAGGAAAUGGCAGCCCUUACUCCAAAGGUUAAGAGGGAAUUAGGAACAAAAAGAAGGGUUUGGAAGAACUAAGGAAGAGAGUGCAAUCAGAGCAUCGGAAGGUCCAAGACUUGUCAGACAUAGGUGCAUUCCAGCCCAACAACAGUGUGGGGCAUGUUGGUCUAAGGGCAUCUUACCUCCAAGAACUGCUUGAGGCGUAUGAAGGAGCCCAUCUGUCCUGAGCUUGUGAUAGCUUCAAUUCUACAGGGAGAGAAAGACACAUGAAUCACACCUAUGAUAUACACCUAUCUUUUGGAAACGGUGUCUCACUCUGUCACCUAGGCUGGAGUGCAGCGCGGUGGUGCGAUCAUAGCUCACCGAGGCCUUGAACUCUUGGGCUCAAGCGAUCCUCCUGUCUCAGCUUCCCUAGUAGCUGGGACUAUAGAUGCAUGCCAUCAUGCCUGGCUAAUUUUUUUUUUGUAGAGAUGGGGUCUUGCUAUAUUGCCCAGGCUGGUUUUGAACACCUGGGCUCAAGUGAUCCUCCUCCUGUGGCCUCCCAAAGAGCUGCAAUUAUAGGCAUAAUUAUAGGCAUAAGCCACUGUGCUCAGCCCCUAAUUUGUGUUUUUGUUUGGGCAAUGAUAUUUAAGACAGACUCUCAUUAAGGUUCAAAAGCAUUUAUUCAAAUAUCAACGAGAGGGACUGGAGUAGGAAAGAUGUCAUACUUAGUACAGGUGUUUUUAACUUGAAUCAAAACCAGCAGGUAAUAGCACCCUUGGGUAUCUGAGGCCUGGUUAUGAGUUACUUAAUCCCCUGCUGUCUGCUCAACAAGCCUGAUACCUGGGAAAGUAGUCCUCUUUGAUGAGAAUUAGCAUCUUCCAGAACUGAACCUGGUAUUGCUUCAUGAGGGCAUUCCCACACACCUAGAGGGAAAGACAGGCACUGUCAGAGCAGAAAAUGAAAAUUCACACUCACAGGACAGAUUCAUAAAGCACAAUCAGCCCUUCAUCUUUCACACCUAUCAAAAAUUUCAACCACAAUGCCACUGAACUUGCUAACAA